UCUUCUGUGGCGCAAUUGGCUAGCGCGUUCGACUGUUAAACACUGCAAUCGAGAGGUUGGAGGGUAAGCAGUCAAUGUGGAUCGUUCAGAAGCUUGAAACUAAUAGUUCUUCAGUUCGAGCCCUCCCAGAAGAG